rnacentral:rRNA from 1 species
CUACGGGCGGCACCAGUGGGGAAUUUUGGACAAUGGGGGCAACCCUGAUCCAGCCAUGCCGCGUGAGUAAAGAAGGCCUUCGGGUUGUAAAGCUCUUUCAGCCGGGAAGAAAUCGCAUGGGCCAAUACCCUGUGCGGAUGACGGUACCGGAAUAAGAAGCACCGGCUAACUACGUGCCAGCAGCCGCGGUAAUACGUAGGGUGCGAGCGUUAAUCGGAAUUACUGGGCGUAAAGCGUGCGCAGGCGGAUGCUUAAGUCAGAUGUGAAAUCCCCGGGCUUAACCUGGGAAUUGCAUUUGAAACUGGGUGUCUAGAGUGCGUCAGAGGGGGGUGGAAUUCCACGUGUAGCAGUGAAAUGCGUAGAUAUGUGGAGGAACACCAAUGGCGAAGGCAGCCCCCUGGGAUGACACUGACGCUCAUGCACGAAAGCGUGGGGAGCAAACAGGAUUAGAUACCCUAGUAGUC